rnacentral:misc_RNA from 1 species
UUUGCUUGCGCAACAACUGCCACCCUGCUUACCUCUUCAGUCGUUUGCUUAGGCUUAUGGCCUAUGCAGAUUGUGGGUUUCAUGUGCUGCCUACCUAAUUCAUGGUAUUGUCCCGAUCGAUGAAAGUUGCUUUCGUCUUGUGUCAUUCACAUGGCAUCAGAUGAACCUUGAAGCUGACUCUUUGAACCACACCAUUAACGCUCGCGUUGUUGUUGUGGCCCAUUGAGCAGUGCUUGUUAUCUUGGAUACGGAACCUGAUGUGGGCAUGGAGUCUCAUGGGACCCUUGUUAUGCCCUUGUUGUAGCGUUCGCGUUUCUCUUAAUAUGACUGCCUAGCCCGAAUUGGCUCGUACCACCGGGUGGGUUACGUCAAAGAGGAAUGC